rnacentral:lncRNA from 1 species
UUUUUUUUUUUUUACUAUUAUUAUUAUUCUUUUAUUAUUUAUUUUUUUAAUGUAUUAGAGAAACAGACUGCAUUUACACCGAGGUUACCCAGACAACGUUUGUGCUGGAGAAGAUUAAAAAAAAAAAAAAAAAGAAAAAGAAAAAAUAAAAAAAGGAGAAGAAAUGUAAAAGAGAGAGGACAAAAAGAGAAUCCUGCGAGUUAAAGAAUUCUGCUUCCAGCUACCAUGUACAGAAAUCAAAAAGGAUUAACAAGUUUUUUUUCAUUUAAUUUCCUGUACACCAGACGCUUUUGUUAAGAGAUCAGAGAUAUUGCUAUUUAUUGAAUUUUUAAUAUGAUCUUUAUUAAAAGGCAGCACACAUGUUUAGUUUUCCUUUUUUUCUUUUUUUUUAAACAUUCAUGGGUAUAAAAAUCAAAGCACAGGAAUGAACCAUGGUUGUUUGAUUUUGGUCUCUUUAUAUUAUGGUGAUUCAGACUCUUAUUUAAAUUUUAAAAUAAUAAAAACCCAGCCCACAUAGAAAUAGCCCCUCAUCCUCCUUUUAACUCACAUCUAUUCUGCUAAGUAAGCAAUGGGCCCAGAGCAGCACUUUGACCAAUCAGAUAAUGAAUUCUGCCUUUGGAGUCAGCAUUAAGACCAAGGAAUGAGGUGUGUAGCUGAGUAGAAAGGGCUUUGUGUAAUUAAAUCAGCACUGUAUGUGCUCAUUUAUUACAUGCAAUACCCCCAGGUUAGUCUGCAGCAUGAACUGUAGCACUAAUGAAAGGAGUAAAAAUCAAACUUAUAUGAUCCCCUCCCAGCCCACAGUUCUGGGUGCUAAGGAGCAGGGCCAGGCUGGUCCUGGAAGAGCCAAGAUUGCUGGAGCAGAACCUGUUUUACCCAGUCAUUUACAAAACACAUCAAACCAUCCUCCCCCAGUGACAGUCAACAGCAAUUCCAGCCUCUCCUUUCUUAAAUAUUUAGCCUGACAUAAACAUGGUGAUUUCUUAAGGUUAGAUUUGUGCUAAAAUCUAAGAAAAUAUCCUGACCAAAAUAGAAAUACCUUCUUUUCUAUCUGCAGCUCUAUAGAUUUGCUUUAGAACCUUUACAAUCUGCAACCAUUUAAAAACCAGACUAGACUAAGAUUUCAUCGAACAUCCUGCUUGCUUCUUUGUUAUGCUGCUCAUAUUGAAUCCGUGGGAUUCAACCUUGUUUUCCUGAGUAUAAAUAUUAUUGUGCUGGCCUGAAGCUUGGGAACUUUCUUCUGCCAGACUUCAGUUCUGUAUGGCCUGUGAAUUUGCUUGGUCUUUCUGACAAAACACACUGUAACCUGAGCCAGUGAACCUCAGGAGAGAAGGUGGACAUGAUCUACCAACUCAUGUUUAGUUUCUUUUUCAGGCAAGGUUUUCACUGUCUAGAAUGCCAGCUGGAUUUCAUAGUGCCUGUAAUUCCAUAUAUAUUUGUGCAACUGUUUUGGGAAACCUUACUAUGGCAGCCUUGUGGGUUUUGUUGUUUAUAACAUCGCAGCAGGGCAGACAAAUUUGAAGGGAACUGCUGGUGCAGCCCUACAGAGCCAGAAGGGCAAAGAACAGCUCUGAGGAAGUCCAAAACCUAACCAUAACAGACAGGCCUUUCUUCCUCUUAUCUGUAGAUAAGGUUGGUGCUGCCCAGCAGUGUAAAUGCGGCCUCUGGGCUUCACGUUCCACAAUGAGAUUUGGUAGUGAUUCUCCCCUAUGGCAUUCACCUGUUUAAAACAAAUUACUCAUGAAGUAUGAAAUCACUGGACAGCGUGGGUCACAUAUUUUAGGAGGAUAUACUGCCUGGGAUUCUCUAAAGUGCUUCACACAAUGAAGGAAGAGCUCAGGGUUGGCUUAAAGAUCUACUCCAGUAUACAGCAAGUAGUCAGCCUUACUCAGAAUCAAGGGAAGACCAAGUAUUAUGAAACAUAUUUACAUAAAACAUUUACACACAAGCACCAGGUUUAUGAAAGAAAAUAAAUAAGAAGUCAUCAAUUCCUACUUACAGAAGACAAAUUGUGAUUUUCCCUUGUUUGUUGGAAGGGAGCAUUCUGCUGACCAGCACAGCACAGAGUUACAAGCACCAGAGGAUGCAGAUCACUCGGGUUCUUUUCAUCAACCUUUUAGACCAAAAGCACUCUCACAAAAGGUGUCCUGAGCCUGAAGUGAGGACAAGUCAAGUCUCUUGACUGAAUGCAGCAUGUGUCAACCUGCACACCUUCUGACCUGCCAGGUUACUUCUACUUCUGGCACCAAGAAUUCCAGAGAGGAUACCUCAUCUGUGUCUUUUCUUUUUAAUGGAAAGUUGGAGCUAUAUCUAACAUCAGAAGUAAUUACUCACUGUAUCAAUAAUUGCAAAGGGUGGUAUGCAGAUCACAGAUGGCCUGUGGGGAGCAGCAGGCACAGACAGAAUGGGCCAGGUGCUAUUUGAUGUUGGAAGAAGUUAGAGCCAUCUUCCAGCUUGGAACAAGAGACUAUUACAGGAGAGCAAAGGUGAGCUUCCAUAUACACCCACACCUCACCUGUUCUUUCUAAAAAUCACCUGUACCUCAGGAUCUAGUCAAAAAUCUGAAGUGAUAUGGGCUUUUGUCUUUUUUUUUUUUUUUGCUUCCCCUACAGACUUUGACAAAUAUUUUUCCAAAGGUAGAUGCUUUUAACUUUCCAAAAGAAAACUAGCUUUCCUACAAUUCAAAAUAAAUGUCCACUUUUUUCCCCAGUGUUUUGAGGAGGAGCUUUUUUUUCCAAGUGCAGUGGUCAAAAUAAGAUUCUUUUCUAUCACUAAAAAAAAAGAACACCACAUUUGUUUUUUUCUUCUUUUGUCCUUUCUUAUUCUUCUUUUGAAAUAAUUUUUUGAAGUAAUAAAAAUAUCAAAAGACUUUUCCCCCCCUUGAGAUUAACAAAAAUUUGUACCAGAACCCCUUACUUCUUGAAAGAAGUCCACAAGAUGAACUUAAACACGAGGGUUUUGUUCCUCUGUGUGAAGACUCAGUCUGUGGAAGCUGCACUGAAAACCUGCCAAAAAACCUUCUUAGGACUGAAAAAUUGGGUUCAGUGGUCACUUCCUUUUAAAUGUGUCUGGCAACCAGCACUAUUUCUAUGACUCAGGCAGAAAACUGAUUUCUAUGAUUAUCAGACAUUUAAAACCCCCUAAAAUGAAACAGGAGAUAGAGAGGGGGUUCUCACUGCAGUAAUGGCAAUCUGUUUUGAGCCCCUGGGUUCUCAGAACCUCAAGUAGAUCAACUUGAGACUGCAGCACCAGUGAGCUCUGGUUUGUUUCACAUGAGGAAUUUUACACAGACAUUUUCAAAAUGAUGCACUAAAAUUUCAGCGGGUAACAAAAAGAAUUAAAAAUAAAACCAAUAAUUCAUUCAUAGCUCACUUGUGUCUCAGUGAAUUUGAAGAGAAUCAAGAACUGUGCUGAAAUUUUAGAUUCUUGUGGGAAGCCAGACUGAACCAUCACUACAGGUGCCACAAAUGGGAUCCAUGCCAGAGUGGAAUUGGCCCCAUUCCUCUUGCAGUAAUGAAGAAGUGAUUUCAUUAGAGACCAACAUGAUUCAUUAAUAUCAGUCACUCUGUAUUAAUACAGGAUAAUACAGUCAGAAGUGGGUUUUCUCCCUCUUUUCUUCAAUGCAUGUGAAAGUAUGGUCUGAACUGUGAUGACCAUUUGGGUGAUCAGAACUUGGUCUGAAUGUCAAUAUAUUGCCAAUCUCAGAACAGCCAGGUCAGCUUUUCAAACCCCCUAGACUAAACCCUGCAGCUUGUUGCAAUGUUGUCUUGGCUUUGCCUGCAAAUACAGUAGUUCUUGGAGUGCCAUCACUAGCAAGGUGAGCAGGAUUUACCAUGCCUUAAAGUAAUUACAUGCAGCUUCAAAUUCAAUGAGUUCAGUGGCAAUGGAAGUCCAACAAAGCAUCCUGCUCACAGAACAUGUGUGCCUGCAGUGCAACGCUUCAGUCAGAACUGUGAAAAUACCUUUUUAAUGUGUGCUGGGGAUUAAUUCUCAUGAAAUGGGAGUGUCAUCCUGCUGAAUUUCCCCACAAAAUCUCAGUGCAUGCCAUCAAGUACCACUUCUUAAAGAAACCUGUUAGCUUAGCUAGUGCCAAAAAAAAAGCCACUCAUCAAGCAGUGUGACUGUUGUAAUUUGGAAGCUGUGCUCACUGUCCUCUAUUUCUUGAUUUAAGAGCAUUAUGAAACUAUGUCAUUUUGGUGUAGCCUUUUUAUUCCCAUGGUAAUUUAUGUCUGUGGGUAAGGAUUUUAUUUUAUCUAAGCCAUGGUGCCAGAGUUAUUUUCCGAAGCUCUUGAGUUUCCCUUUGAUGCUGUUGAAAUUAAAACCAGAGCUGCAGAUAGUACCCAUGCUGUUUGUCACAGAGUCAGAGGUUAGAAUGCAUUUGCUGCUAUUUAUUGUGGCUCAUCAACUGCAAUCAUUGCUGCUGCUCUUCUCAUCAUUGAUACAAAAAUAUUAAUAACAGACAACAAGAGUGGCACAUAACUGACUUUGUCUGGCACCAUCAGCAUUAUAAAAAACACAUUACACAAGUAUCUGCAAAUCUCUCCACGCUGCACUAAUCUUACUUGCCUUGGGAAAAUUUUAAUUAAAAAGAUGAAUUCCAAUCUUAAAUAUUUUAUUAUUUAGACAAACAAUUUGCAUCUUUAGUAAGUAAACACUAAAAGAUGCAUCUGCAUUUCCUAUGUAUAGAUGGUGUGAAAUGUUAUAAAGUCUAAUUUCUUUCUAAAUUACAUAAAAAUUUUCUAUCUGUGCUUAGACAACUAAUCAUGUAAAGAGCUAGGCUACAUGUUCUUAACUACAACAUAAAAAUUGUGUCUAACUUAUCUUCCUGUCUACUUGGCCCGUCCUAGGUCUGAAAUGGCACUUCCUGAGAAUUUCCUCAGCAAAAACAUUGGUAAUUUUGCAUUAAUAGAUCAAUAAUGGCCACUCACAUGAACUCCUCUAAGGGCAGGUCUGUAACACAGCCCAAGGUGACACAGCUGUGAGUGAUGACAGUCACCAACAGGUAACAAUGCCAUGGCUUCAUUUGCAGACAUCUACAGGUGCAAGACACCCUGCAGAAUGUUAAUUUGGGAUUUUAGUUUGUUUUCACUCUAUAAUUUUAAAGCAAAAAGAAGGCCAUCAUGUUUCUCAGUGUGUAUGGUAUUGCAUUGGCUUUGCCCAGUUGGGAACUUCCAGUCCUCAACAUUUCUUGGAGCUUUCCACACAGGUUUUGACAAAUUUUUUUUAAAAAAGGGAUUUUUCCUAUUCCACAGGAUGUCUUUGGUGCUCUCUAUCCAGAGAGAGGCACUAAUGCUGUCACCCAGCAAGAUCACAUCUACACUUGGUGCAACACCUCUGGGGGGUGGCCCCACGGAGCAAUAAAGGACCACAAAGCAGGAAGGAGCAAUAAAGGACCAAUAAAGAACCACAAACCACAGCCAGGAAGCUUCACUCUGGGACAUAACUGUGAACACUUUCCAGGAAAGGAAAUGUAAUGCAGGGAGAGAGGAGAGUACAAUUUAUGGAAGCAGAUUUUAUAAUCUCCAUUCACAGAUGCCUCCAGCAUCAAACCCCAGCCUUUUAUCCCCAAAGGUCCAAUUCAUACCUUGUGUAGUUUCAUCUACUUCAGCCAAAUUCCCUCUGCUCCAAGCUGAACGUGUGGAGAAAUCUGAACAGAGCACAGCUGCAUCCUCUGCUCAACAGAAGUUGUCACAGUCCAGCUUUUCCUUCGAAGCUUGCAACCAGCCAGUUCCAUAUGCAUCAUCUCUUCCUGACUCAAACAGGCAGUCUGACCUCAGUUAUUAGCAAUCACAGAGCUUCUGUGGAGUGUUUCACCCUGAAUCAGAAGAUAGCAGGUUUUGUGAUGAGAAACAUCAGGGUCUUGCUCUUUCCUCUGACCCCAGAAGGUAUGGGAUGCGGAAAGGUUAUGGAUACAGUUUAAGGGAAGUUACCAGAAAUUUUUAAAUAUUACCUACUUAUGUAUUAAAAAAAUCAGU